CCUCGGUGGUAGCCCCGCCGCGGCCGGGUGAGCGCGGGCCUCGGCCCCGGGGUGACGGCACGGAGCGCUAGGGUGCGCGCCCGCGGGCCGCGUGGGCAUGACGCGGUGCCUCCCUGGGCUCCGAGCCGUGUCUGGGAGGAGCGCUAACCCCCUCAGGCGGCCGGGCCGGACUUUCGUCCCUACGGCCCUCCUAGAGCGGAGGGCGCGCGUUGCGGGCUGCUCCCCGUGGGCUGGCGUGGAGGUCGUGUCCCGUGGUCGCUGCUGGGGACGACAUCGCCGGCCGGACUCGCGCAUGGCCGAGAGUGACGAGCGGCUCCCCGCGCAUGUGCCGGCGCGCUUGCCGUUCGCGUCUACCGCUUGAGGUUUUCCUCGAGGGCGUCCCAGCCCAUGUCUAAUAUUCCACCUUAAAUGCAGGGGAGGUAGACUGUUUACAAAGUUUCCUGUCCUCUAAAACUUCGUAUGAUGAGAUUCUGUCACUUCUGUCAUCAAAAGGUGGAGUCUACUUGUCCUUCCCUUGAAUCUAUGCCGGCCUGUGACUUGCUUUGGCCAAGAGAACACGGGAAUAAUCGUUCUGCAAGAGGAAGUGCUUACAGCUCUUGGCACACUGCCACGAGACUGCCAUGCAUAGGUCAUGUGGAUUGGAACCCAGGUGCCCCCAACUAAAGCCCAGCGGGGGCCUUGUUCCCAGCUGAUUCACCACCUGAGUGCAACCACAGUUCUAUUCCAGGAACACUCAAAUCUCUGGCUGACUCCACCUGCCUUUUACAUUCCAGACUCACGUCUUGAAAUGACAGUAGGAUGCCUCCAGCUUCCAGCCUCUCCUGGGUCGUAAUUUCAGCACAUCCCAAACUGAAAUCAAAGUGCCCUCAAAGCUGAACUCACGGUUUCCCCCAUAUUUCCAUUGGCAUCACCACCAUCCUCCAUGCAUUCAGGCUUAAAACCAGCCCCUGUACAAUAUUAUUCUGAGUCCAGCCAAUUCUUCCUCCAAAACGCCUCUAACAGCGAUUACUUCCCUUUUAUUCCCCUAUUACCAUUUACAUGGCAAUAAAAUUUGCAAUACAGUAA